rfam:Gossypium arboreum cultivar AKA8401 contig_11641_7, whole genome shotgun sequence.
AGUCUAUGAUGAGGACACAUUUUCAAUAAAUCCUUAAAUCUUUUUCAUGUAUCAUAAAGUGUUUCAAUGUCAAAUUGAACAAAAGAAGAGAUAUCAUUCCUCAACUU